rnacentral:ribozyme from 1 species
UUUUUGUUUGCAUUUUUUUAUUUUUUUCAAUUCACGAAAGUAAAGAGAAAGAGAGAGAGAUAGUGUGUGUGUGUAGUUUUAUUUUGGUGUGUGUAUUUUGUGU